rnacentral:rRNA from 1 species
AGUGAACGCUGGCGGUAGGCCUAACACAUGCAAGUCGAACGGCAGCACAGUAAGAGCUUGCUCUUACGGGUGGCGAGUGGCGGACGGGUGAGGAAUACAUCGGAAUCUACUUUUUCGUGGGGGAUAACGUAGGGAAACGUACGCUAAUACCGCAUACGACCUACGGGUGAAAGCAGUGGAUCUUCGGACCUUGCGCGAUUGCAUGAGCCGAUGUCGGAUUAGCUAGUUGGCGGGGUAAAGGCCCACCAAGGCGACGAUCCGUAGCUGGUCUGAGAAGAUGAAGAGCGACGAUAUGACAGAUGAAACGCAAAGACUCCUUGCGGGGGCACAGGUGGCGAAUAUUCGACAGUAGACGAAAGCCUGAUCAUGCCAUACCGAGUAGGUGAAGAAGUACUACGGGUUGGAAAGCCCUGUUGUUGGGAAAGAAAAGCAGCAGGUUAAUACCCCGCUGUUCUGACGGUACCUAACCAAUAAGCACCGGCUAACUUCGUG